CUAGCCCUAGCCUACCCUAAGCCCGCAGCACGGCUACCGCAACUAGUUUUCCCCAUCGGGCCAGCCACAGCCGUCUCCUUCCUCCAGCCCGCGCCCGCAGCCCGACCUCCCAAGCGACCGGCGUCCGAGCCAGCUCGCCUCACCAUCGCGCCCCUCGGCCGCCGGAGAUGCGCCCUGCCAGAGAACCAGGCCAACGCUCUGCCUCGCCGUUGCCCUCCUCCUCCUUCCUUUUCCCGUAAUAUCUCUCUUCCUCUCCCUAAAUCUCCCUUUCUCUCUCUGUAUAUCGCAGGAUGCGCAGCGCCAAGGAUGCCCGAAGAUCCCUCGCCGACCGAUGCGCCUCCCUUGCCGGCCAGAGCUUUCCAGUCUGCCUCGCCGGAGCACCACUAGGUGCUGCCACGUGAUGCCAUGGAACCUUCGAUGCCUUGUCCUCGUUCCCCAUGCCGGUCCUCGACGCAGCUUGCGCCUCGCAUGACGGCGCCCCGGCCACCUACACCUGCACCGAAGCACGUCGCGACCGCCCUCGCGUGAAUCUACGCCGGCCUAUGACCUUGCCUGCCCAACCCUCCAUGGCCUCCCCUGCACCUCGCCACCAUCGGGGACUAUGACCCAAGGCCGGAUCCGCCAUCUCGUGCCCCUGUCGCACUAGCCGAACGAGACACCGCGCCAUAAAGCAGCGGCAGCAACCCGUGUCCGCGAGCAUGGUGACAAAGUUAUCUAUGUUUCAUGUUCAGUUUUCGUCAGAUAAGCAUCCGGGUAUGUUCAUUGCAAGCAAGACCCAUUUUAUAACACAACAGCCAUGUAGCCUAGCUGGUUAGCGCUUUCGGUAUGCUACCAUGAGAUUCUGGGUUCGAGUCCCAUGUACUACCUCCGUUCUUAAAUAUAACUCAAUGAGUGAAUCUA